UGGGGAAUCUUCCGCAAUGGGCGAAAGCCUGACGGAGCAACGCCGCGUGAGUGAAGACGGCCUUCGGGUUGUAAAACUCUGUGAUUCGGGACGAAAGAUAAGCAGACGAAUAAUCUGCAUAAGUGACGGUACCGAAAAAGCAAGCCACGGCUAACUACGUGCCAGCAGCCGCGGUAAUACGUAGGUGGCAAGCGUUGUCCGGAAUUAUUGGGCGUAAAGCGCGCGCAGGCGGCUACUUAAGUCCAUCUUAAAAGUGCGGGGCUUAACCCCGUGAUGAGAUGGAAACUGAGAAGCUCGAGUGUCGUAGAGGAAAGUGGAAUUCCUGGUGUAGCGGUGAAAUGCGUAGAGAUUAGGAAGAACACCGGUGGCGAAGGCGACUUUCUGGACGACAACUGACGCUUAGACGCGAAAGCGUGAGGAGCAAACAGG
rnacentral:rRNA from 1 species